rnacentral:rRNA from 1 species
UACGUAGGCAGCAAGCGUUGUUCGGAAUUACUGGGCGUAAAGAGUGUGUAGGCGGUGUUCUAAGUUCGGUGUGAAAUCUCCCGGCUCAACUGGGAGGGUGCGCCGAAAACUGGGAUGCUCGAGCGUGGGAGAGGAAAGCGGAAUUCCUGGUGUAGCGGUGAAAUGCGUAGAUAUCUGGAGGAACACCGGUGGCGAAGGCGGCAUCCUGGACCGGCAUUGACGCUGAGGAGCGAAAGCGUGGGGAGCGAACAGG